UUGGAUACUACUUUAAGAAAAAGAAAGAAGAACAGCAAAGCUUGAUCAAUAUUCAAGUGGGGUAUUCGGGUAAAAAUUUUCUUCGGAAUGGGUAGCUAUGCAAUUAAAUUUCAUAGGGGCAAAUUCAACUAGAAUUUCACAACCGCAAUAAUCAAUUUGGCCAAAACCAAAAAUGUCGACAAACUCAAUUUUUUUUGUUCUUCAAGCUUUUUCAAGGUUCAAAAAUGGUGAAUUCGAUCUUUCUUCAUUUUCGAUUAUCACCCUCUCCGGCGGAUCCGUAAAUCACCGUUCCUAGCAUCCCUGUUUCACCCAAACACACCUCUUCUAAUCACCAAAACUCAGUCAUUCUUCAAUACUGGAAAAUUUUAUAGCCGCUAUCCAUUUCACAAAAUCACUUCCAUUUUUGCUAUUAGUCAAAGGAGAGCAAAAAGAACGAAGAAGAAACAAGAAAAAAUAAUAAUUAAAGUGAUAAGUAUACAACAAAUCUAUUGUAACUGGGGUUUGGAUCUACAUCGUGCAAAGAAAUAAGUGAAAAAAAGUCUAAGGCUAAUAGGACUCCGGUAAAAGUAAAGUGUAUCCCACUUACGCCUUUUCCGUUUACUUUUUGACAAAGUUGUUUAAAGGGACAAAACUCUAUAACAUUGAAUAAAGAAUCAUCCCAGUUUUCAUGAAUUAACCUUUCUUCCAAGAGUCCAUUUUUUUUCUUUCUCAUUCUAAUUUUCUAAGCAGCAAGGUAUUGCUAUAGAAAUUGAAAAACAAACCUUUCUAUUUUUUUCUGGCCUGUGGAUAUUCAGGAUCCGGCUUAUUAAAGAAGGCUAACUCUUAUUCAGUCAAGGACUCAAACGGCCCAUCAAAUGGUAGCAGCCUAGUUUCUGGAGUAUCAAACAGCCACCCAUCAUAUCUCGCUGCUUCAUUUUCAUGACUAGCGUGGGGUGAACCUUCAACUGAUGGAACUUGAUCAGAUGUAAGGAGUGGAUAUGAAUCACGGUUACGUGUGGGACGCUUAUUUUUAACCACAUCGUUUGUUGCUUUCUGUCCAUCAGUAACUGUACUUCUCGCAAUAUGUUCAGUGAAGGACUCAAAGGUUCCUUCAAAUGGUGGCAGCCUAUUUUCUGGAGUAUCGAACGGCCACCCAUCUUUCAUCUUCUGCUUCUCAACAAUGGAAGUGCUCCCAUUCUUUCUCGCAUUAGUCUUUACAGUUUUUUUCUCAAUUUGUAUUUUUCCGUAACAUUAUCCUGAUCCUUUUCAACUCCAUGAAUCUCUAACUCCCUAUCAUAUUGGUGCUCAUCAUCAGUUCCGUCCUCUUUCUCAUACUUAAGGAACACGAGCAACCCAUCCUGAUCACUAGUUUUAAGAACAUAUGAUGUUCCAUUUGGCGUAGCGUUAGCCAAGAAAGUCAUAUAAUGUGGGUCUGCUUCAACAUCACUACCACUAGGGCUAUCCCCAUCAUAGGCAUAAUCUUGAUCCACAAGAACACAUCUUUCCAAUGCAUUACGAUCCCUAAUCCCAGUAUCUUCAUUUUCACUUUCAACGGAUGGAAGUGGAUAAGAGGAAGGAAGAUCCCAUGCAUGAUGGUGACGGUUGACACUAAUCUCAUCAUUCUGUAUGCCUGAAAGAGGAGGGACCAUAUUCUGCUCAUCAUGUUCAAGUUCAGGAGGGACCUUUUGCUGACCGUGAGAAGUAAGCAUUGUACUGUGCUCAUGCCAAUCAAAGCUGCAAAUUCCAGUGGGCUCAUCAAGAAUUUUUUCCCUUAUCACACUAUUUUUAGGUUUAUGUGGCCCUGUAGAAGUAUUUUGAGGCAGACGAGGAGGAAGCCUAGUAGGCUGAGAUUUUGCAUUCGUCAUCCUAAAGCCUUGAUCAGAUGCCACAUUGUUUGUUUCUUUCUGUUGACCAGUAAUUGUACUUCUCUCAACAUGUUGAGUGGGAACAAUAGUUCCCUCGUCAUGCCGAGGCAAAGAGUAUGUAACAGCUUUGUCAAAGCUCGAAAUCUGAUCAAGCAAUUUUGAACAAGAGUUGAUGCCUUGAUCAGUUCCAAGGCAGAGGACAGCUACGAGGCCCCUUAUCAUCAGCUAAGUCGUUUGUUUUCUCUGGGCCUACAAGAAGAGCAUUAUUUCCUGAUCUGCAGCUUUACAUUAUCUCCAUCAAAGUCACGCUGAUCAAGCAAUUCAAAGAGUGCCUCAAAAACUAAUUACCUUGAAUGGUGUGGUCCGUGCUAGAAAUCUCAUCAUUUGGACCAGCAAAUUCGGUGGCUUCCUUCUCCUCUGCUGCUAGGAACUUGUCACUCAACUUGAAUAACUUGCAAAAUACCCACUUUUAAAAACCAUCCCAGUUUUCAUGACCAAACAUCUUAAAAACCAAAUUGAAUCAAGAAUCAUCCUAGUUUUCAUGAGCUAACCUUUUCUGUCAAAAUUAAUCAAAUAUGACAACACAAUUCUGUCAAGAAGCCAUUUUUUUUUUAAUUUCUAAUUCUAUUUUUCUAAGGAGCUGAAGAAUAUCAUGACAAAGAUGGGUUCUUUAUUUUAGUGCCAAAGAGCAAAUUGUUCACUAUUACAACAGAAAAUGGUUGAGGGUAUACAAAGGAAUUGCAAAUUUCAACUCAAACAAUUCUUGGCUGCUUGUUUCUGGGGUUAGUUUUUUACGGAGGCAACAGCCAGCAAUAGUUUCUUACGGAGGCAACAACCAGCAAUGGAGAGUAAAGGAGUAGAGAAGAGUUCUGGUAAUCGACGGUGCAAAAAUGGAAGAAAAUGGGAAACAGGAUGGCACUACGGAUAUGAACGAGAAUUAUAUGGACAUUGAAGUCAUCGCCGAAACAGGAAGUGGUGAGAUGCACGAUCCUUGUGAAGCGAAAGAAUGGUAUUUUCUGAGCCCAGCAAGCAACAAGUAUACAGAGGGAGGUCAAUGUAACAGCUCGAACAAUGAUGGAUACAGGGAACCUUGUGGAACAGUCCUCUCAUCCACAAGGAUGAUACGCUGAUUGGAUACCGAAGGACACUAAACUUCAUUGAGGGGAAGCAUGAGAAGAGGACUGAAUGGCUAAUGCAUGGAUACUUGAUAGGAGCAGAGAUGUAAGAGCUGGUACUACUACUGAUGACAUGCAGUGGGUAUUUUGCAAGUUAUUCAAGUCUAGUGACAAGUUCCUGGCAGCAGAGGAAAAGAAAGCCACCGAAUUUGCUGGUCCAAAAUAAUGGAUUAUCUAGCACGGACCACACCAUUCAGGGCCUAGAGAAAACAAACGACUUAACUGAUGAUAAGGGGCCUCGUAGCUGUCCUCUACCUGGAACUGAUCAAGGCACCAACUCUUGUUCGUUCAAAAUUGCUUGAUCAGAUUUCGAGCUUUGACAAAGCUGUUACAUACUCUUUGCCUCAGCAUGAUGAGGGAACUAUUGUUCCCACUCAACAUGUUGAGAGAAGUAUAGUUACUAGUCGACAGAGAGCAACAAACAAUGUGGCAUCUGAUCAAGGUUUUACGAUGCGGGAUGCUAAAUCUCAGCCUACUAGGCUACCUCCUCAUCUGCCUUCAAAUACUUCUAUAGGGCCACAUAAACCUAACAAUGGUGUGAUCAGGGAAAAAAUUCUUGAUGAACCCACUGGAAUUUGCAGCUUUGAUUGGCAUGAGCACAAUACUAUGCUUACUUCUCAUUGUGAGCAAAAGGUCCCUCCAGAACUUGAACAUGAUGAGCAGACUAUGGUUCCUCCUCUUUCUGGCAUAUACAAUGAUGAUAUUAGUGUCAACCAUCACCAUCAUGCAUGGGAUCUUCCUUCCUCUCAUCAACUUCCAUCCGUUGAAGGUGAAAAUGAAGAUACUGGGUUUAGGGAUCGUAAAGCAUUGGAAAAAUGUGUUCUUGUGGAUCAAGAUGAUGCCUAUGACGGGGAUAGCCCUAGUGGUAGUGAUGUUGAAGGUGACCGGGAUUAUAUGACUUUCUUGGCUCAGGCUAAGCCAGAUGGAAUACCAUAUGUUCUUAAAACUAGUGAUUAGAAUGGGUUGCCCGUGUUCCUUAAGUAUGAGAAAGAGGACGGAUCUGAUGAUGAGCGCCAAUAUGGCAGGGAGUUGGUGAUUCAUGGGGUUGAGAAGGAUCAGGAUAAUGUUACGGAAAAAUACAAAUUGGGGAAAAAAAACUCUGAAGGCUAAUGCAAGAAAGAAUGGGAGUACUUCCAUUGUUGAGAAGCAGAAGAGGAAAGAUGGGUGGCCGUUUUUACUCCAGAAACUAGGCUGCCACCAUUUGAAGGACCCUUUGAGUCCUUCACUGAACAUGUUGCGAGAAGUAUUGAUGGACAGAAAGCAACAAACGAUGUGGUUAAAAAUAAGCGUCCCAGACGAAACCGUGACUCAUAUCCACUGCUUACAUCCAAUCAAGUUCCAUCAGUUGAAGGUUCCCCCCACGCUAGUCAGGAAAAUGAAGCACCGAGAUAUGAUGGGUGGCCGUUUGAUACUCCAGAAACUAGGCUGCUACCAUUUGAUGGACCGUUUGAGUCCUUGACUGAACAAGAGUUGGACUUCUUUGAUAAGCCGGAUCCUGAAUAUCCACAGGCCUAUGAGAACAAGAAAGAAUGAUAGAACGUAAGAUCCAUGAUAUGAUGCAUUCUACUAUUCUAGUGAUUGUAGUUAGAAGUACAGUUUUAUUUUUAAUACAAACUUCCAGUUCAUGAGUAAAGGUAUGACGGCACUAGAUUAAAGUUUCAGGGCCAAAUACUUGUGAAGGCCUUCAUACACAAUUGUUUUAGCAUUUACUAUCCUUAUCAGAUAAUCUCU